rnacentral:rRNA from 1 species
AGAGUUUGAUCCUGGCUCAGGAUGAACGCUAGCUACAGGCUUAACACAUGCAAGUCGAGGGGCAGCGAUGAAGAAAGCUUGCUUUCUUCAGGCGGCGACCGGCGCACGGGUGAGUAACGCGUAUCGAACCUGCCUCAUACUCAGGAAUAGCCUUGCGAAAGUAAGAUUAAUGCCCGAUGUUAUUAGGAUAUCACAUGAUGUUUUAAUUAAAGAUUUAUCGGUAUGAGAUGGCGAUGCGUCCCAUUAGCUUGUUGGCGGGGUAACGGCCCACCAAGGCAUCGAUGGGUAGGGGUUCUGAGAGGAAGGUCCCCCACAUUGGAACUGAGACACGGUCCAAACUCCUACGGGAGGCAGCAGUGAGGAAUAUUGGUCAAUGGACGCAAGUCUGAACCAGCCAAGUAGCGUGCAGGAAGACGGCCCUCUGGGUUGUAAACUGCUUUUAGUUGGGAAUAAAGUGCACCACGAGUGGUGUUUUGUAUGUACCAUCAGAAAAAGGACCGGCUAAUUCCGUGCCAGCAGCCGCGGUAAUACGGAAGGUCCAGGCGUUAUCCGGAUUUAUUGGGUUUAAAGGGAGCGCAGGCGGACCUUUAAGUCAGCUGUGAAAUACGGCGGCUCAACCGUCGAACUGCAGUUGAUACUGGAGGUCUUGAGUGCACACAGGGAUACUGGAAUUCAUGGUGUAGCGGUGAAAUGCUCAGAUAUCAUGAAGAACUCCAAUCGCGAAGGCAGGUAUCCGGGGUGCAACUGACGCUGAGGCUCGAAAGUGCGGGUAUCAAACAGGAUUAGAUACCCUGGUAGUCCGCACAGUAAACGAUGAAUACUCGCGAUUUGCGAUACACAGUAAGUCGCCAAGCGAAAGCGUUAAGUAUUCCACCUGGGGAGUACGCCGGCAACGGUGAAACUCAAAGGAAUUGACGGGGGCCCGCACAAGCGGAGGAACAUGUGGUUUAAUUCGAUGAUACGCGAGGAACCUUACCCGGGCUUGAACUGCCAGUGACGGUAGCAGAGACCCUACUUUCUUUCGGAACCUGGGUGGAGGUGCUCCAUGGGUUGUCGCCAACUCCUGCCCCGGAGGGGGUCGGGCUUAAAGUGCAUAAACAAGGCGAACCCCUCAUUUUCUUUUUGCCAUCAAGGGGGAUCUGGGGCACUCCCGGGGAUACUGCCAUCGUAAGAUGUGAGGAAGGUGGGGAUGACGUCAAAUCAGCACGGCCCUUACGUCCGGGGCUACACACGUGUUACAAUGGGCGGUACAGAGGGCAGCCACCUAGUGAUAGGGAGCCAAUCCUCAAAGCCGUUCUCAGUUCGGACUGGAGUCUGCAACCCGACUCCACGAAGCUGGAUUCGCUAGUAAUCGCGCAUCAGCCAUGGCGCGGUGAAUACGUUCCCGGGCCUUGUACACACCGCCCGUC